UACGUAGGUGGCAAGCGUUGUCCGGAUUUAUUGGGCGUAAAGGGAGCGCAGGUGGUUUCUUAAGUCUGAUGUGAAAGCCCACGGCUUAACCGUGGAGGGUCAUUGGAAACUGGGGAACUUGAGUGCAGAAGAGGAAAGUGGAAUUCCAUGUGUAGCGGUGAAAUGCGUAGAUAUAUGGAGGAACACCAGUGGCGAAGGCGACUUUCUGGUCUAUUAUUGACGCUGAGGCUCGAAAGCAUGGGUAGCAAACAGGAUUAGAUACCCCGGUAGU
rnacentral:rRNA from 1 species